GAUCAGUCGAGUUAAUUGUUACUGGAGCUACGAGCGAGCGAAAUGUUGUGUUGCCCUUGUUUCCCCUUUAGGAAGCGCAAGAAAGUCCGUCUAGAGCCAGUGCCAGAGGUGGCGAUUCCCAGACCUCAGAGGGUCCGCCCGAUCCUCAGGAGGCUGAGGAAGUUCCUGAAAAAGGAACAAGCCCUUGUGGCAGAGGGCUCUGUACGGGAGCCCCAGACAACAGGGUCAGAGGUCACCCCUCACAUCCCCUCAGAGGUCUCGGCCAUUCCGAUCACACCUAGUCCAAAUGCCCUUCAAGAGACCGAGAAGGAGGAGACUAAGGUGAUCAAGGCCAUCCUUCAUGAGGACCCUGUUAAAAUGGAGGACCUCGAGGGAGAGGAGGAGACCAACUCGUCCCUUGUGCCUGCAGUGCUUGGGCCCUCCUCCAGCUCCUUGGAACGCUGUGUGACCCAGCUGAUGGGGCAAGACGUUGCCAAGAGGGAAAGAUCAUCAAGGGGCAGAAGCCCCUCUGCUGCAUUAACUGCCCCAGACAAUAGUGUUGCCCUCCUCCAACCUCAGCAGCUGAAGUGCAGAGGGCUGCCCAACCUGGGGCAUACCUGCUACCUGAACGCCACACUGCAGUGUCUGCUCCACCUGCAGCCUCUCUGCACUCAGCUGCUGGUGCAGGAGGAGGUGUGGAGGAUGGAGCCAAAGGCACUGCUGCUCGGUUCGUUUGUAGGACUGGUACUCCUCAGAGGGUCCUUUGAAAUGGACAUGAAGGCAGCUGUACUACUGGAGCUCAAGGACCAAAUCUCCCUGCACAACCAGGAGUUUGAGGGGAACUCGCAGAACGGGAGAACCUAGCGAUGACUUAGCAAUGACGCCCAUGAGUUCCUCUCAGAGUGUCUACUGCGGCUGAGGGUCAUCGGCCAGGCACUGGCCAUGGGCGACAUGGCCUACCAGUGCCCAGUGGACACUCUGCUCUCCUUCCAGCUCCGGUAUAUAAGAACUUGCCAGAGCUGUGGAGUUGAGAGCAUGAGGGAUGAGGUUAACACCAUGCUCUCCCUCGACCUGGUUGUACAGGGAUCGAUAAGAGACAGCCUCCAGCUCUUUUUCACUGAAUCAAAUGUGGAGUUCCGGUGUGAGUGCUGUGAGGGUCGGGUGUCAACCUUGAGGUGUCAUUUCCACACUCUGCCUCAGGUGUUGAUCCUCCACCUCAAGAGGUUCUGUCCCCUGACCCUCACCAAACAACACCAGGCGGUCACACUGGACCCCAUUCUGGACCUGAGGACACUAGGGGAAAGGAUUGAAGAUGUCCUUAGGACGCCUCCUCCAACCAGAGGAAGGAGAGGGACAUUAUACCUUAAUAAAUGUCCUUAGCCACAUUGGCUCAGAUACCACCAGCGGAAGGAAAGGGACAUUAAUUAAGGAAUAAUGUUCUCAGCCACAUUGGCUCAGAUACCACCAGCGGCCACUACAUGGCCGACUUUGAGGAACAGCCAGGCCAGUGGGUCACAUACAGUGACCACUGUGUCUCAGUGAGAGCUGAGGAGGCCAUCCUCAAAGACAGGGAGAGGAUGGCCUACAUUCUUUUUUUACAUCAAAAAGUGAUGCGGAUUACCCCCCUCCCCACCCCGUCUGCCUUCUGCCCUCCCCAUCAUCAUCACGGGUAAAAGCUGUCAGCACCACUCCAGCAAGCAAUGGGUGACCUAUUCAUAAAGGGCAAAUAAAAUUGUAUUAAACCAACAUCAAUGUCUACUGGAGAAUGCCUUCACUGUAUUGAGCACAUCAUUGGCAUCUUAAGCGACA
ensembl:lncRNA